rnacentral:rRNA from 1 species
CCCUUAGAUGUUCUGGGCCGCACGCGCGCUACAAUGGUCUUCGCAAACGGAUGCAUUCUCGAAGGAGAAUGCCAAUCUUGGAAUCUAUGCCUUGGUCGGGACAGUUGCUUGCAAUUUUUCGACUCGAACCAGGAAUUCCUUGUAAUCGUGAUUCAUCACAUCACGAUGAAUACGUCCCUGCCCUUGUACACACCGCCCGUCGCUCCUACCGAUCGAAGAGUUAGGUGAAUUGUUUUGAUCGAUAAGAUUUGACUAUGGUCAACUCUCGUUGUGAAAUUCUGUGAAUCUGACUGUUUAGAGGAAGGAAAAGUCGUAACA